CCGCCUGUUACAAAGAUAUAUACAGUAAGGAAAAGGAUCAUUCGUCCGAUGUCUAACCUCAUGACAGAACAUGAAAACAGUGGUGGUGUCUUAGAUGGUCAUGACCAAUACUCUACAGGUGCUUAGUUUAUAAAAAUCAACACUCUGAAUUGCACUCCUGAAGCCAGCAUAGUGGUAUGGGAGUAAAUGCAAUAUGUACCCUAUGGAUAACAAUUCACACCGACAGUUGUGCCCUGUAGCAGAUGAAGCUUUGGAGUGGUUUUCAAGGGUAACCCAAUGAGGGAGCACCCAGAAACAACACAUUCAGGUACAGGUAACUAUGGUGAGGGAGCAAUGGGUAUUGCUUUCUGGCUAAAGCCAGACAACAUACAGCCACGUUUCUAAUAAGCCUUGGGGUUUUCUUUUGGUUAAACCCAACAGUGGUUCUGACAAGCUAUGCAUAUGAUUCUUCACUCUUGACUGAGGAAAAAUUACCAUGGAUUGCAAUGUACAUCUGAGCCCUUUUUGUUGGGCAGGGGAAAAAAAAAAAACAAGAGUGGGACACCUAAAAUGCCAACACUGCACCUGUCAUUAAAUGAGUUCAGAAUCAGGUGGCAUUUUUUAUUUCUAUUAUGCUUUUGUAGGUGUCUCUUUUUCAAGCCUGACCCCUGCAUACUGUAAAGACAAGAACAGUUCUUAUGCUUCCAAACAGCAUCAUGGGAGUAAAGCAGGUAAGGGCGUAAAGCUCAUGGGAGUAAAGCAGGUAAGGGUGUCUAGUUUGCUUUGAUCUAGCUCGUGCUCCAUUUUGCACCAGGUAUAAACCCAAUUCAUUUUAGUCAUUUAGUCCCGGUCUACAUUACAUCAGAAAGUUGAAGUAAGAUAUGCAACUCCAGCUAUGCAAAUGCUCACAUUGGCUUCCCAUACACCUUGUGAGGAGCAGGAAUACUGGUGCCGACAAAGUUGCCCUUUGAGUUUGAUCUAUACUGCAUCUGCUAAAUCGAACCCUGGAAGAUUGACCAUAGCAGUGUCAAUCUUCCAUGUAGUGUAGACAUACCCUUAAUGUUUAUAUUACAGUAGCACCCUGAUUUCUGCAAACGUAAAGAUGCGGUCUCUACUCCGAAUAGCAUAUCAUCUCCCUGGAAGCAAAGUGGUGAGCAUAGAUCAGCACAUAAAAAGUCAGAAUAAAAAUGGGAUGUAGCUACAUCUUUAUUUUAGUGCAUUUGUAUGUAGAAUGAAAAAUCUUCAUUUCUCAAAUGCACU